rnacentral:rRNA from 1 species
GUGAGGAAUAUUGGUCAAUGGGCGGGAGCCUGAACCAGCCAAGUCGCGUGAAGGAAGAAGGAUCUAUGGUUCGUAAACUUCUUUUGCAGGGGAAUAAAGUGCAGGACGUGUCCUGUUUUGUAUGUACCCUGAGAAUAAGGAUCGGCUAACUCCGUGCCAGCAGCCGCGGUAAUACGGAGGAUCCGAGCGUUAUCCGGAUUUAUUGGGUUUAAAGGGUGCGUAGGUGGUUUGAUAAGUCAGCGGUGAAAGUUUGCAACUUAACUGUAAAAAUGCCGUUGAAACUGUCGGACUUGAGUGUAAAUGAGGUAGGCGGAAUGCGUGGUGUAGCGGUGAAAUGCAUAGAUAUCACGCAGAACUCCGAUUGCGAAGGCAGCUUACUAAGCUACAACUGACACUGAAGCACGAAAGCGUGGGGAUCAAACAGGAUUAGAUACCCGAGUAGUCC